rnacentral:rRNA from 1 species
UACGAAGGGGGCUAGCGUUGCUCGGAAUUACUGGGCGUAAAGGGCGCGUAGGCGGAUACUUAAGUCGGGGGUGAAAGCCCAGGGCUCAACCCUGGAAUAGCCUUCGAUACUGGGUAUCUUGAGUUCGGGAGAGGUGAGUGGAACUCCGAGUGUAGAGGUGAAAUUCGUAGAUAUUCGCAAGAACACCAGUGGCGAAGGCGGCUCACUGGCCCGGUACUGACGCUGAGGUGCGAAAGCGUGGGGAGCAAACAGG